rnacentral:tRNA from 1 species
GAUAAGGUGGCUGAGAAUUAAGGCUAUAAAUUGUAAAUUUAUAUAGGGUAAUAACCCCUUAUCA